rnacentral:rRNA from 1 species
CGGAUGACCUGUGGCUGGGGGUGAAAGGCCAAUCAAACCGGGAGAUAGCUGGUUCUCCCCGAAAGCUAUUUAGGUAGCGCCUCGUGAACUCAUCUCCGGGGUAGAGCACUGUUUCGGCUAGGGGGCCAUCCCGGCUUACCAACCCGAUGCAAACUGCGAAUACCGGAGAAUGUUAUCACGGGAGACACACGGCGGGUGCUAACGUCCGUCGUGAAGAGGGAAACAACCCAGACCGCCAGCUAAGGUCCCAAAGUCAUGGUUAAGUGGGAAACGAUGUGGGAAGGCCCAGACAGCCAGGAUGUUGGCUUAGAAGCAGCCAUCAUU